GUUCCUAGUUGGAUUCGUUAACCACUGCGCCACGACGGGAACUCCAUAAAAACUCUAAGGAUUUUAAAGUCUAAUAUCAUGUACCAUUUUAUUCCUACCAAAUGACAGCCUGCCCGAGAAUGAAACAACUGAAAGAACGAUGAGCUACUCAUCUCGGAUGAAUCGGAGCACCUAGGUCCCGCCUGCCUGAGGCUGGACCAUACAUGCUCGGCAUCUUUCAGCUUAAGGAGCUGAUAAAUAACCUUUUCCCUAAACGAAUUCGGACUGAGUUUCUGUCAGAAUCCUGAUUAUAGCUGCUAUAGUCUUAUUUGUAAAUUCAUCAACUUCAUGCACUCAUUUACGAGUCUUUCUUAUCAGAGAACAAGGACUUAACUCAUCCCAUCAGCUCCAGCCUCGACACAAGCCAGCUCAAAGCUUGAACUCUGCUGGGGAUGCUGUAGGCAGACCCCCAUUACUGAAAUUCCCAUCACGCAGAAAUUUCAGGGCCGCACCUGCAGCAUUUGUCAAAUCGGAG